rnacentral:rRNA from 1 species
UACGGAGGGUGCAAGCGUUGCUCGGAAUUAUUGGGCGUAAAGGGCAGGUAGGUGGUCUCAUUUGUCUGGGGUGAAAGCCUUGAGCUUAACUCAAGAAGUGCCCCAGAAACGGUGAGACUGGAGUCCUAGAGAGGGUCGUGGAAUUCCCGGUGUAGCGGUGAAAUGCGUAGAGAUCGGGAGGAACACCCGUGGCGAAGGCGGCCAUCUGGACCAGUACUGACGCUGAGGCACGAAAGCGUGGGGAGCAAACAGG